rnacentral:tRNA from 1 species
GGGACAAUGGCGUAGUUGGUCAUCGCAUCCGUCUUACACACGGAAGGUCGCAGGUUCGAGCCCUGCUUGUCUCA